UACGUAGGGGGCAAGCGUUGUCCGGAAUCAUUGGGCGUAAAGAGCGUGUAGGCGGUCCGGUAAGUCCGCUGUGAAAGUCGGGGGCUCAACCCUCGAAUGCCGGUGGAUACUGUCGGGCUAGAGUGCGGAAGAGGCGAGUGGAAUUCCUGGUGUAGCGGUGAAAUGCGCAGAUAUCAGGAGGAACACCGGUGGCGAAGGCGGGUCUCUGGGCCGAAACUGACGCUGAGGAGCGAAAGCGUGGGGAGCAAACAGG
rnacentral:rRNA from 1 species